AUUGGACGCUGGCGGCAGGCUUAACACAUGCAAGUCGAGCGGAGUGAUGGUGCUUGCACUAUCACUUAGCGGCGGACGGGUGAGUAAUGCUUAGGAAUCUGCCUAUUAGUGGGGGACAACAUCUCGAAAGGGAUGCUAAUACCGCAUACGUCCUACGGGAAAAAGCAGGGGAUCACUUGUGACCUUGCGCUAAUAGAUGAGCCUAAGUCGGAUUAGCUAGUUGGUGGGGUAAAGGCCUACCAAGGCGACGAUCGGUAGCGGGUCUGAGAGGAUGAUCCGCCACACUGGGACUGAGACACGGCCCAGACUCCUACGGGAGGCAGCAGUGGGGAAUAUUGGACAAUGGGGGGAACCCUGAUCCAGCCAUGCCGCGUGUGUGAAGAAGGCCUUAUGGUUGUAAAGCACUUUAAGCGAGGAGGAGGCUCUUUUGGUUAAUACCCAAGGUGAGUGGACGUUACUCGCAGAAUAAGCACCGGCUAACUCUGUGCCAGCAGCCGCAGUAA
rnacentral:rRNA from 1 species